GAUGAACGCUGGCGGCGUGCCUAAUACAUGCAAGUCGAGCGAACGGACGAGGAGCUUGCUUCUCUGAUGUUAGCGGCGGACGGGUGAGUAACACGUGGAUAACCUACCUAUAAGACUGGGAUAACUUCGGGAAACCGGAGCUAAUACCGGAUAAUAUUUUGAACCGCAUGGUUCAAUAGUGAAAGACGGUCUUGCUGUCACUUAUAGAUGGAUCCGCGCUGCAUUAGCUAGUUGGUAAGGUAACGGCUUACCAAGGCAACGAUGCAUAGCCGACCUGAGAGGGUGAUCGGCCACACUGGAACUGAGACACGGUCCAGACUCCUACGGGAGGCAGCAGUAGGGAAUCUUCCGCAAUGGGCGAAAGCCUGACGGAGCAACGCCGCGUGAGUGAUGAAGGUCUUCGGAUCGUAAAACUCUGUUAUUAGGGAAGAACAAAUGUGUAAGUAACUGUGCACGUCUUGACGGUACCUAAUCAGAAAGCCACGGCUAACUACGUG
rnacentral:rRNA from 1 species